rnacentral:sRNA from 1 species
CUUUUUCUCCCAACCACAGUUCUGAGUCGCGAAGGAUCCCUCCCUGGCCUUACCUGUAAGGCCAGUGCGAGGUCGAACGUUCGCGACAAACUCGACUCUCUGCGCGGAGCACAUUGCAAUACCCCAUGAUGUUUAUUUCCCGGUCGACAGAACUGAGAGCAACCCUCUCGACCUUUCGCCCUCGGGCCAGUCCGCCAGAGCUCGGUCCUUGAGACGUUGUGCUUUGAGGUCUUCGCGAUCUUGGUGCUUCCGAACGGGGACUUUGAUCAGCUCGGCGGGCUGAGGUCAGGGGAGACGUCUUAUUCCCAAGCUUGGUGUACGCGCCUCGUCGAGGCAUGAUCAUUGGGCAAAACCAAGACUAUUGUCUACAGAC